UGAUAAGACAUCCUAUCAUUAUCUGAAUUGCAAUAUCUGGAUCUAUCUAACAACAAGGGUCUGACUGGAACUCUUCCAUCAUUGAUCGGGAAUUUGAAUCAGCUUACAACCUUAAUCCUCAUUGGUUGCAGUUUCUUUGGUCCAAUUCCGGACUCAAUAGGAUCUCUGCAGCAACUGGUCUUCUUAGCUCUGAAUGCGAACAGCUUCAGUGGACCAACCUGCU